rnacentral:rRNA from 1 species
GCAUCCCCAGGUUAAGCGGGACCACCCACUGAGUUUAAGCAUAUUACUAAGUGGAGGAAAAGAAACUUACGAGGAUUCCCCUCGUAAUGGCAAGUGAACCGGGAAGAGUGCUUGAAAAUCAGGCAGCCUCACCAUCUGAAUUGUAGUCUGAAGAAGC